UGGAUGAUGGCAUUGUGUACUAAAACGAACAACACAUAGCAAUCUCAUAACUUCUGCAGGCAAUAUAUUUUAUUUUUUGACAAUGUUUGUUUUUCACUAGCGUUUGGCAUUAUGCCUGUGUGGUGUUAUGUGCUGGCUGUGCUAAUUACAAACAAGCACGAAAAUGAGUUAUCUUUCACCAUUGUACCUACCAGAGAUUUACCCAGAUGCUGCCAGUGGCUUGCGGCUAUCAAGAAUGAUGCACUUUACAGUGACCAAAGAUUAUCAGAGGGAUUUACAGGCUGAACUGAUGUGAUGGGGAAUCCAUUUCGAUGACAGCUGUGAAGUGAUGCCAUCCAUUAUUUUUUCUUCACAACAAAACGGAAAAGUCACUAUUAGAGGAGAGGACGGACAUGCAUGACCUUCUGUUUCUCCUCUCUGCUGAGCCCGAUCCGGCCCCAGCAGUGCAGCAGUCCUCCCUACAGGCUAUCCUGUUCCGCUCUACUUUGGCACCAGCUUAUGCCACAAUGAAAGAGGAUGGCUCUAAAAAUCUUCUUUCUGGAUAAAGGCUCGGUGGGUGACAGGUAAACGUGUCUCCACCGAGCUGUUCCAGGCCCAGGGUAUGACUGGAGUGGCACGCUGGAACUUGCAGAGGCUGGUGGACUUGAAGCAGCCUGAUGUGGUCCAAGUAAUUAUCACGCACAUGUACAGUGGGGAGAACAAGUAUUUGAUACACUGCCGAUUUUGCAGGUUUUC